UGGAACAACAGGCAGCUGUGGUGUCAUGAU
rnacentral:piRNA from 1 species